rnacentral:rRNA from 1 species
AUUGAACGCUGGCGGCAGGCCUAACACAUGCAAGUCGAGCGAGCGGCGGACGGGUGAGUAAUGUAUGGGGACUGCCCGAUAGAGGGGGAUUACUACUGGAAACGGUAGCUAAUACCGCAUACUAUCGGAUAACACAUGUGGGAGUAGCUAGUAGGUGGGGUAAUGGCUAACCAAGGCGACGAUCCCUAGCUGGUCUGAGAGGAUGAUCAGCCACACUGAGACUGAGACACGGCCCAGACUCCUACGGAGGCAGCAGUGGGGAAUAUUGGACAAUGGGCGAAAGCCUGAUGCAGCCAUGCCGCGUGUAUGAAGAAGGCCCUAGGGUUGUAAAGUACUUUCAGUCGGGAGGCGUUACCGACAGAAGAAGCACCGGCUAACUCCGUGCCAGCAGCCGCGGUAAUAC